rnacentral:rRNA from 1 species
CGCAGGCGGCUGGUCAAGUCCGAUGUGAAAUCUCCCGGCUUAACUGGGAAACUGCAUCGGAAACUGAUCGGCUUGAAGGUGGGAGAGGGUAGUGGAAUUCCCGGUGUAGUGGUGAAAUGCGUAGAUAUCGGGAGGAACACCAGUGGCGAAGGCGACUACCUGGCCCAUUCUUGACGCUGAGGCGCGAAAGCUAGGGGAGCGAACG